UCGUGGAGUGAUUUGUCUGGUUAAUUCCGUUAACGAACGAGACCUCAGCCUACUAAAUAGUGUAGGAAAUUGAAAAAUUUGUCUAAACUUCUUAGAGGGACUACCGGUUCUUUUCAAGCCGGGGGAAGUGUGAGGUAAUAACA
rnacentral:rRNA from 1 species